UCUAGAGCAUUCAUAGUGAUACGAUUUUGAAGCAAUCGCGGUGGAAUUUUCCCUUAGGCA
rnacentral:tRNA from 1 species